rnacentral:rRNA from 1 species
CGUGAGACAGUUCGGUCCCUAUCUGCCGUGGGCGCUGGAGAACUGAGGGGGGCUGCUCCUAGUACGAGAGGACCGGAGUGGACGCAUCACUGGUGUUCGGGUUGUCAUGCCAAUGGCACUGCCCGGUAGCUAAAUGCGGAAGAGAUAAGUGCUGAAAGCAUCUAAGCACGAAACUUGCCCCGAGAUGAGUUCUCCCUGACUCCUUGAGAGUCCUGAAGGAACGUUGAAGACGACGACGUUGAUAGGCCGGGUGUGUAAGCGCAGCGAUGCGUUGAGCUAACCGGUACUAAUGAACCGUGAGGCUUAACCUUACAACGCCGAAG